GCGUUUAUAGUAUAAUUAAAUACACUAAAGUUUCAUUUUAGAGAUGCGUUAAUCGUGCGUUGAAUGUU
rnacentral:tRNA from 1 species